CUGUGGGCAGGCCGGGGCGGACUGGGACUUGGUCUGUGGGAGGGGCUGGCUCUAGACCAAGGUCCCCAAGCCGGGCAGCCCUCCCAGGGGAGCGUGGAGCUGGUGUGGAGCAGGAGACAGCAGGCACGGGCUGAGCAGGGAGUGGGUCUGAGCCCUGGCCUCCCCUGUGUUCUUGGGGAGCAGGGCCGCAGUUUCUCCACCUGCAUGGCAUAGUACCCACCUCCGUCCACUGAUCUGCACCCUUCUUCUUCCCAGGAGAACGUGGAGGGCCGGCAGGAGGUUGCUGCCCAUCCUUCCGUGACCUCUGAGGUGGAGAACAAGGAGGAAAGGCUGGGGAGCUGGCUCCUGAGGAAGCUCUGGCUGGGCAGGUUCCCAGCCUCAGACACCCCGAAGACUCAGAGCCGAAAGUGACAAGUAUACAAUAAAUUCGGGGUGCUGC